rnacentral:rRNA from 1 species
UACGUAGGUGGCGAGUGUUGUUCGGAUUUAUUGGGCGUAAAGGGUCUGUAGGAGGUUUGUUAAAUACGGGGUGAAAUCCGGGAGCUCAACUCUCGAAUUGCCCUGUAGACUGACAGACCAGGGCAUUGGAGAGGUAAGCGGAAUACCAAGUGUAGCGGUGGAAUGCGUAGAUAUUUGGUAGAGCACCAAGAGCGAAGGCAGCUUACUGGACAUUAGCCGACUCUGAGAGAGGAAAGCGUGGGGAGCAAAC